AUUGAACGCUGGCGGCAGGCCUAAUACAUGCAAGUCGAACGGUAACAUGAGUAGCAAUACUUGAUGACGAGUGGCGCACGGGUGCGUAACGCGUAUGCAAUCUACCUUUUACUGGUGAAUAGCCCGAAGAAAUUCGGAUUAAUACACCAUAGUAUAUUGAGGAGGCAUCUCCUUAAUAUUAAAACUCCGGUGGUAAAAGAUGAGCAUGCGUGACAUUAGCUAGUUGGUGAGGUAACGGCUCACCAAGGCAACGAUGUCUAGGGGAUCUGAGAGGAUUAACCCCCACACUGGUACUGAGACACGAACCAGACUCCUACGGGAGGCAGCAGUAAGGAAUAUUGGACAAUGGUCGCAAGACUGAUCCAGCCAUGACGCGUGAAGGAUGAAGGCCCUAUGGGUUGUAAACUUCUUUUGUAUGGGAAAAAACCCCUCUACGUGUAGAGGGCUGAUUGUACCAUAAGAAUAAGGAUCGGCUAACUCCGUGCCAGCAGCCGCUGUAACAC
rnacentral:rRNA from 1 species